rnacentral:rRNA from 1 species
GACGAACGCUGGCGGCGUGCUUAACACAUGCAAGUCGAACGGAAAGGCCCUGCUUGCAGGGUACUCGAGUGGCGAACGGGUGAGUAACACGUGGGUGAUCUGCCCUGCACUUCGGGAUAAGCCUGGGAAACUGGGUCUAAUACCGGAUAGGAGCCAUUUUUAGUGUGAUGGUUGGAAAGUUUUUUCGGUGUAGGAUGAGCUCGCGGCCUAUCAGCUUGUUGGUGGGGUAAUGGCCUACCAAGGCGGCGACGGGUAGCCGGCCUGAGAGGGUGGACGGCCACGCGGGAGGGGGUGACCGCCCGAGGCUGCAGGGGGGGGAAGGGGUGAGGAAUAGUGUGAGCGGGGGGGAGGCGUGAGGCAGGGACGCCGGGUGGGGGUUGGCGGCGUGCGGGUUGAAAACGCAUUUCGCUAGGGUGGAAGCUUGUUGGGACGGUACAUAGAUAAGUGGCACCGGCAGACUGCGUGCCAGCCGCGGGAGUAAUCGGCGGAAUAGCACAGGUCUGAAC